GUUAGCUCUUAAUGAGGUUCAUCUGCUAUAUUAGGCGCAUGCGCAGCACGUGAAUCAUUUUGUGUGGGUCCGAUUGGCGUUGAAUCGGAAGUUGCUGCCUCUUCUGACCGGUCUGGAGCGACACCCGGGGGGGGAUCCCGGGAGCGAGGCCGGGGACGCAGGAUGCUAGUAGGCACCCAUGAGGUCCCUUCACAUGCGUGCGAGUUAAAGCACUGGGAUGCAGUGAUUGAGGUGAGGCCCUUGAGCUCAUCCAACGACGAGGUCUGUUGGUGUUCGGAGCGAUUCCAACGCAGAAAACCCAUUUCUCGCUUAAGGCGCACCAUCUCAUGAGUGUACAUGUGUGGUUGUUACCCCCUUUCUCCUGUUUUUUUUCCUAUUUUUAACUUGUCAUCCAUCUGUGGCAUAUGUGUACGACGUAGAUGAAGUCUUUGAAGAUUGGUCUGGAAAAAACAUUGGUCUGGAUUUUUCUUGGGUCAAAGAUGUUUCAUAAAAUGUGAUCUUAGUUUAUUGGGUCAGUAUUCAGACUAGGACCAGCAGGUCUCUGGUGAUGGUUCUUCUGUCAGACCGGCUCCAGGGUCCCGGCGAGGCUCUGGGAGUCCAUGUGAGGAUGUUUUGGAAGAGUAAUGAUGCUCAGACCGGUAGACGGGCCAGACCACAUGCUCUAUGUCUAUCGUCAAUCAGAGCUUUGACAGAUGGUAAAUCUGUCUGGGCCACACAGUCCAACCUACCGUCUCAUAUUGAGCUGGUGGUGCCAAGACAGGCCAGCGUCAAGGUGCCAGGCAGAGGAGAGCUGUUGGAGACCUGGGGUGUGGAGUCUGGGGUUCAAGUUCGCUCAUUUCCAUGUCAGCAUACGGAGUGAAAUGAAUCGUCUUAUUUCAAUGUGACUGUCUGCACCAGUACCAGGGAAACUGAUGGCUGAGAUAUCCAAGCUGAAACCUCCCUCUUCAGUCUGACUGACUGGAUGCCUGGACUCUCCUUCCAGCCCCCAGUGCCAUACACUCUUUAUAUUCACUUCACUAACUGAAUGAUUUCACAUGUUCCCACCCUUGAGGGAGGGAUCCCCCACUCUGCCUUUCUUCUCAACAUUUCUUCCUCUUAAGAGUUUUUCUUGCCCUCUGGGGGUCAAGGGUCAGGGGGGGGUGUCAUAAAUAAAUGGCCUGUGACAAUCUGAGUAUGUAACUGAUAAGAGCUAUACAAAUAAAACUGAAUUGACUUGAAUAAUCUUCCACUUUACUCCAAGAAUUUCACGUGCAUAUAUUCAAGCAAACAACUUUUAUAUUUGUUUUUAUCAUUUAGACACUGGAUAUCAGAGACAAUAGAUCAUCACAACCAAUUAUAAAAUAUCAGUCCGAAC
ensembl:lncRNA